AGUGUUCUUUGGAGUCCGGGGAAGUUUGGCCUUUAAAAAUCAAACUGCCAUGGACACUGCUUUACCCAAAAUUUUGGUUCACAUUCUUCACUGGAUUAACUAUUGGGGCAAACAACGUAUAACCAUGUAAAACCAGUACGCUUGUAUUGGCAUUUCAUGGCUAGAGUUCUAAGUCACAAGCACCUCUUCGGCAAAGCCCACCUCCCUCUCUCGCUUGAUUCCCCGGCCAUCCUUAUCAAAGACCUUCCAGGUGAACAGGCAGCCAUCCUCAGCAGCAGUCAGCAGGAACUGAUCAUCAAAGAAUCUUGCUCUGUUGCCCAGGCUGGAGUGUAGUGGUGCGAUCUCGGCUCACUGAAACCUCCGCCUCCCAGGUUCAAGCGAUUCUCCUGCCUCAGUCUCCCGAGUAGCUGGGACUACAGAAACUUGCAAAAAUAGCACAGAGAGAGUGGACUUCUGGAAUGGCACGGCAACAAAAUUCCCUACGGCAGCACCCAAAGGCUUGAAAUUAGCCAUUCCAAGUGUGUCCAAAAAACUAAAGGAAACCAUGAUUAAACAAGUAAAGGUAGAAAUGAUAUGCAUCAAAUAGAGAAGAAUAAAAGGAUCCCAUCAAUAUAGGGAUAGAACUGUAAGAAAAUAGAAAUUCUAGAGUUAAAAACUACAAUAACUGAAAUGAAAAAUCCACUAGAGGUGCUCAAGAAUAGAUCUGAACUGGCAGAAGAAUUAGUGAACUUU
rnacentral:lncRNA from 1 species